GGGUUGUGAGGUUAAGCGACUAAGCGUACACGGUGGAUGCCCUGGCAGUCAGAGGCGAUGAAGGACGUGCUAAUCUGCGAAAAGCGUCGGUAAGGUGAUAUGAACCGUUAUAACCGGCGAUGUCCGAAUGGGGAAACCCAGUGCAAUUCGUUGCACUAUCGUUAACUGAAUACAUAGGUUAACGAGGCGAACCGGGGGAACUGAAACAUCUAAGUACCCCGAGGAAAAGAAAUCAACCGAGAUUCCCCCAGUAGCGGCGAGCGAACGGGGAGCAGCCCAGAGUCUGAAUCAGCUUGUGUGUUAGUGGAACGGUCUGGAAAGUCCGACGGUACAGGGUGAUAGUCCCGUACACCAAAAUGCACAGGCUGUGAACUCGAAGAGUAGGGCGGGACACGUGGUAUCCUGUCUGAAUAUGGGGGGACCAUCCUCCAAGGCUAAAUACUCCUGACUGACCGAUAGUGAACCAGUACCGUGAGGGAAAGGCGAAAAGAACCCCGGCGAGGGGAGUGAAAAAGAACCUGAAACCGUGUACGUACAAGCAGUGGGAGCACCUUCGGGUGUGACUGCGUACCUUUUGUAUAAUGGGUCAGCGACUUAUAUUCUGUAGCAAGGUUAACCGUAUAGGGGAGCCGCAGGGAAACCGAGUCUUAACUGGGCGUUAAGUUGCAGGGUAUAGACCCGAAACCCGGUGAUCUAGCCAUGGGCAGGUUGAAGGUUGGGUAACACUAACUGGAGGACCGAACCGACUAAUGUUGAAAAAUUAGCGGAUGACUUGUGGCUGGGGGUGAAAGGCCAAUCAAACCGGGAGAUAGCUGGUUCUCCCCGAAAGCUAUUUAGGUAGCGCCUCGUGAAUUCAUCUUCGGGGGUAGAGCACUGUUUCGGCUAGGGGGUCAUCCCGACUUACCAACCCGAUGCAAACUACGAAUACCGAAGAAUGUUAUCACGGGAGACACACGGCGGGUGCUAACGUCCGUCGUGAAGAGGGAAACAACCCAGACCGCCAGCUAAGGUCCCAAAGUCAUGGUUAAGUGGGAAACGAUGUGGGAAGGCACAGACAGCCAGGAUGUUGGCUUAGAAGCAGCCAUCAUUUAAAGAAAGCGUAAUAGCUCACUGGUCGAGUCGGCCUGCGCGGAAGAUGUAACGGGGCUAAACCAUGCACCGAAGCUGCGGCAGCGACACUAUGUGUUGUUGGGUAGGGGAGCGUUCUGUAAGCCUGCGAAGGUGACCUGUGAGGGUUGCUGGAGGUAUCAGAAGUGCGAAUGCUGACAUAAGUAACGAUAAAGCGGGUGAAAAGCCCGCUCGCCGGAAGACCAAGGGUUCCUGUCCAACGUUAAUCGGGGCAGGGUGAGUCGACCCCUAAGGCGAGGCCGAAAGGCGUAGUCGAUGGGAAACAGGUUAAUAUUCCUGUACUUGGUGUUACUGCGAAGGGGGGACGGAGAAGGCUAUGUUAGCCGGGCGACGGUUGUCCCGGUUUAAGCAUGUAGGCUGGUUGUCCAGGCAAAUCCGGAUAAUCAAGGCUGAGGUGUGAUGACGAGGCACUACGGUGCUGAAGUAACAAAUGCCCUGCUUCCAGGAAAAGCCUCUAAGCAUCAGGUAACAUCAAAUCGUACCCCAAACCGACACAGGUGGUCAGGUAGAGAAUACCAAGGCGCUUGAGAGAACUCGGGUGAAGGAACUAGGCAAAAUGGUGCCGUAACUUCGGGAGAAGGCACGCUGGUGUGUAGGUGAAGUCCCUGCGGAUGGAGCUGAGACCAGUCGAAGAUACCAGCUGGCUGCAACUGUUUAUUAAAAACACAGCACUGUGCAAACACGAAAGUGGACGUAUACGGUGUGACGCCUGCCCGGUGCCGGAAGGUUAAUUGAUGGGGUUAUCCGUAAGGAGAAGCUCUUGAUCGAAGCCCCGGUAAACGGCGGCCGUAACUAUAACGGUCCUAAGGUAGCGAAAUUCCUUGUCGGGUAAGUUCCGACCUGCACGAAUGGCGUAAUGAUGGCCAGGCUGUCUCCACCCGAGACUCAGUGAAAUUGAACUCGCUGUGAAGAUGCAGUGUACCCGCGGCAAGACGGAAAGACCCCGUGAACCUUUACUAUAGCUUGACACUGAACAUUGAGCCUUGAUGUGUAGGAUAGGUGGGAGGCUUUGAAGCGUGGACGCCAGUCUGCGUGGAGCCAACCUUGAAAUACCACCCUUUAAUGUUUGAUGUUCUAACGUUGGCCCCUUAUCGGGGUUGCGGACAGUGUCUGGUGGGUAGUUUGACUGGGGCGGUCUCCUCCCAAAGCGUAACGGAGGAGCACGAAGGUUAGCUAAUCCUGGUCGGACAUCAGGAGGUUAGUGCAAUGGCAUAAGCUAGCUUGACUGCGAGCGUGACGGCGCGAGCAGGUGCGAAAGCAGGUCAUAGUGAUCCGGUGGUUCUGAAUGGAAGGGCCAUCGCUCAACGGAUAAAAGGUACUCCGGGGAUAACAGGCUGAUACCGCCCAAGAGUUCAUAUCGACGGCGGUGUUUGGCACCUCGAUGUCGGCUCAUCACAUCCUGGGGCUGAAGUAGGUCCCAAGGGUAUGGCUGUUCGCCAUUUAAAGUGGUACGCGAGCUGGGUUUAGAACGUCGUGAGACAGUUCGGUCCCUAUCUGCCGUGGGCGCUGGAGAAUUGAGGGGGGCUGCUCCUAGUACGAGAGGACCGGAGUGGACGCAUCACUGGUGUUCGGGUUGUCAUGCCAAUGGCACUGCCCGGUAGCUAAAUGCGGAAGAGAUAAGUGCUGAAAGCAUCUAAGCACGAAACUUGCCCCGAGAUGAGUUCUCCCUGAGACUUUAAGUCUCCUGAAGGAACGUUGAAGACGACGACGUUGAUAGGCCGGGUGUGUAAGCGCAGCGAUGCGUUGAGCUAACCGGUACUAAUGAACCGUGAGGCUUAACCUUACAACGCCGAAG
rnacentral:rRNA from 2 species